UGACCAGCUAACAGCCGUGUUGCUGUCACGGAAAGUAAACAAAAGACGCUUGUAACACCGACACACACCUUCGGCAAAUAUACAGAAAUGUGAAAAACUUUAGCAUCCUGCAAUCACAGAUGAGUCAAUAGGAGGAAGCAAUUAAAUGAGGAGGGAAGCAUUCCGGUGAAAUGGAGCAGCUGUUCAGUUGGGUGCUACACAUUGGUACGAGUGGUUGAGGCAAUUUCAUCUGCUGCCCGUCACUGCUCGGACUUUCAUUUUGAGACUUGCGGGGCAUCUUGUUUACCUGACACCGCAUCCCGACUGCCGGCGAGCUGCCUGAGCAGCGGCGGCCCCUGAGCCGAAGCCCCGCACCGCGGCGAGGAGUGACAGGCCAGCGAUUUCCUCAGCCUGCCCAACGGCUGCCGAGAUCAAAGGCCUCCGCAUCCACCCCGUUUCGUUUUUACGUCCAGGGAAAUACAUAUCUAUACGCCGAGGCACGCUGUUCUUUGUUUACCGUCCUCGUGUUUUCUCGUUUGUCGUUUGAA